AUAACGGCGUCGAGCGGCGGACGGGUGAGUAAUGCCUAGGAAAUUGCCCUGAUGUGGGGGAUAACCAUUGGAAACGAUGGCUAAUACCGCAUGAUGCCUACGGGCCAAAGAGGGGGACCUUCGGGCCUCUCGCGUCAGGAUAUGCCUAGGUGGGAUUAGCUAGUUGGUGAGGUAAGGGCUCACCAAGGCGACGAUCCCUAGCUGGUCUGAGAGGAUGAUCAGCCACACUGGAACUGAGACACGGUCCAGACUCCUACGGGAGGCAGCAGUGGGGAAUAUUGCACAAUGGGCGCAAGCCUGAUGCAGCCAUGCCGCGUGUGUGAAGAAGGCCUUCGGGUUGUAAAGCACUUUCAGUCGUGAGGAAGGUAGUGUAGUUAAUAGCUGCAUUAUUUGACGUUAGCGACAGAAGAAGCACCGGCUAACUCCGUGCCAGCAGCCGCGGUAAUACGGAGGGUGCGAGCGUUAAUCGGAAUUACUGGGCGUAAAGCGCAUGCAGGUG
rnacentral:rRNA from 1 species